rnacentral:rRNA from 1 species
UACGGGGGGAGCAAGCGUUGUUCGGAUUUACUGGGCGUAAAGGGCGCGUAGGCGGCCACCGCAAGUCGACUGUGAAAUCUCCGGGCUUAACUCGGAAGGGUCAGCCGAUACUGCGGGGCUAGAGUGCAGAAGGGGCAACUGGAAUUCUCGGUGUAGCGGUGAAAUGCGUAGAUAUCAAGAGGAACACCUGCGGCGAAGGCGGGUUGCUGGGCUGACACUGACGCUGAGGCGCGAAAGCUAGGGGAGCGAACGGG